rnacentral:rRNA from 1 species
AUUGAACGCUGGCGGCAGGCCUAACACAUGCAAGUCGAACGAGUGGCGGACGGGUGAGUAAUGUCUGGGAAACUGCCCGACGGAGGGGGAUAACUAUUGGAAACGGUAGCUAAUACCGCAUACCAUCGGAUGUGCCCAGAUGGGAUUAGCUUGUAGGUGAGGUAACGGCUCACCUAGGCGACGAUCCCUAGCUGGUCUGAGAUGAUGAACAGACACACUGGGACUGAGACACGGUCCAGACUCCGACGGGAGGCAGCAGUGGGGAAUAGUGGAAAAUGGGCGCAAGCCUGAUGAAGACAUGCCGAGUGGAGGAAGAAGGCCUUCGGGUUGGAAAGGACUUUCAGCGGGGAGGCGUUAUCCGCAGAAGAAGCACCGGCUAACUCCGUGCCAGCAGCCGCGGUAAUUC